rnacentral:rRNA from 1 species
AAUACGUUCCCGGGCUUGUACACACCGCCCGUCACACCACGAAAGUCGGCAACACCCGAAGCCGGUGGCCUAACCCGUAAGGGGAGGAGCCGUCGAAGGUGGGGUCGGUGAUUGGGGUG